AGACCCGAAACCCGGUGAUCUAGCCAUGGGCAGGUUGAAGGUUGGGUAACACUAACUGGAGGACCGAACCGACUAAUGUUGAAAAAUUAGCGGAUGACCUGUGGCUGGGGGUGAAAGGCCAAUCAAACCGGGAGAUAGCUGGUUCUCCCCGAAAGCUAUUUAGGUAGCGCCUCGUGAAUUCAUCUCCGGGGGUAGAGCACUGUUUCGGCUAGGGGGCCAUCCCGGCUUACCAACCCGAUGCAAACUGCGAAUACCGGAGAAUGUUAUCACGGGAGACACACGGCGGGUGCUAACGUCCGUCGUGAAGAGGGAAACAACCCAGACCGCCAGCUAAGGUCCCAAAGUCAUGGUUAAGUGGGAAACGAUGUGGGAAGGCCCAGACAGCCAGGAUGUUGGCUUAGAAGCAGCCAUCAUUUAAAGAAAGCGUAAUAGCUCACUGGUCGAGUCGGCCUGCGCGGAAGAUGUAACGGGGCUAAACCAUGCACCGAAGCUGCGGCAGCGAACGUAUCACCCAAGACAACUUUACGGAGUUGACGAUUGACGGAGCGAAGCGACGUCAAAGCGUUCAUUAAAGUCGAGUUGGCUUAGGGAUACGUUCGUUGGGUAGGGGAGCGUUCUGUAAGCCUGUGAAGGUGUGUCGUGAGGCAUGCUGGAGGUAUCAGAAGUGCGAAUGCUGACAUAAGUAACGAUAAAGCGGGUGAAAAGCCCGCUCGCCGGAAGACCAAGGGUUCCUGUCCAACGUUAAUCGGGGCAGGGUGAGUCGACCCCUAAGGCGAGGCCGAAAGGCGUAGUCGAUGGGAAACGGGUUAAUAUUCCCGUACUUGGUGUUACUGCGAAGGGGGGACGGAGAAGGCUAUGUUGGCCGGGCGACGGUUGUCCCGGUUUAAGCGUGUAGGUGUGUGUUCCAGGUAAAUCCGGUUCACUUUAACACUGAGGCGUGACGACGAGGCACUACGGUGCUGAAGCAACAAAUGCCCUGCUUCCAGGAAAAGCCUCUAAGCAUCAGGUAACACGAAAUCGUACCCCAAACCGACACAGGUGGUCAGGUAGAGAAUACCAAGGCGCUUGAGAGAACUCGGGUGAAGGAACUAGGCAAAAUGGUGCCGUAACUUCGGGAGAAGGCACGCUGACACGUAGGUGAAGUGAUUUACUCAUGGAGCUGAAGUCAGUCGAAGAUACCAGCUGGCUGCAACUGUUUAUUAAAAACACAGCACUGUGCAAACACGAAAGUGGACGUAUACGGUGUGACGCCUGCCCGGUGCCGGAAGG
rnacentral:rRNA from 1 species